GAUGAACGCUGGCGGCGUGCCUAAUACAUGCAAGUCGAGCGAACAGAUGAGGAGCUUGCUCCUCUGACGUUAGCGGCGGACGGGUGAGUAACACGUGGAUAACCUACCUAUAAGACUGGGAUAACUUCGGGAAACCGGAGCUAAUACCGGAUAAUAUAUUGAACCGCAUGGUUCAAUAGUGAAAGACGGUUUUGCUGUCACUUAUAGAUGGAUCCGCGCCGCAUUAGCUAGUUGGUAAGGUAACGGCUUACCAAGGCAACGAUGCGUAGCCGACCUGAGAGGGUGAUCGGCCACACUGGAACUGAGACACGGUCCAGACUCCUACGGGUGGCAGCAGUAGGGAAUCUUCCGCAAUGGGCGAAAGCCUGACGGAGCAACGCCGCGUGAGUGAUGAAGGUCUUCGGAUCGUAAAACUCUGUUAUUAGGGAAGAACAAAUGUGUAAGUAACUAUGCACGUCCUGACGGUACCUAAUCAGAAAGCCACGGCUAACUACGUG
rnacentral:rRNA from 1 species